rnacentral:rRNA from 1 species
CGGUGGAUCAUGUUGUUAAUUCGAUGAUACGCGAAGAACCUUACCAGGUCUUGACAUCCCUUGCAAAGCUAUGGAGACAUAGUGGAGGUUAUCAAGGAGACAGGUGGUGCAUGGUUGUCGUCAGCUCGUGUCGUGAGAUGUUGGGUUAAGUCCCGCAACGAGCGCAACCCUUAUUGCUAGUUACCAUCAUUAAGUUGGGGACUCUAGCGAGACUGCCAGUGAUAAACUGGAGGAAGUGGGGAUGACGUCAAAUCAUCAUGCCCCUUAUGACCUGGGCUACAAACGUGAUACAAUGGCUGAAACAAAGGGCAGCGAAGCAGUGAUGUGGAGCGAAACCCAAAAAGCAGUCUCAGUUCGGAUUGAAGUCUGCAACUCGACUUCAUGAAGUUGGAAUCGCUAGUAAUCGUAGAUCAGAACGCUACGGUGAAUACGUUCUCGGGGUUU